ACGUAGGGAGCGAGCGUUAUCCGGAUUUAUUGGGCGUAAAGCGCGCGUAGGCGGGCUAUUAAGUCAGGUGUUAAAGCCCGGGGCUCAACCCCGGCCCGCACCUGAAACUGGUAGUCUUGAGUCUGGUAGGGGAAAGUGGAAUUCCCAGUGUAGCGGUGAAAUGCGCAGAUAUUGGGAAGAACACCAGUGGCGAAGGCGGCUUUCUAGGCCACGACUGACGCUGAGGCGCGAAAGCUAGGGGAGCAAACAG
rnacentral:rRNA from 1 species